GUUGAAUUCAUUCCAAUAAAAACUACGCAUAGACACCAAAUCUACCGCACUUGUAAGGUCCAGAACCAAAGCACAAGUCUUUCACCAACGUAUUCGUUGAGCUGAAAUUUAAGCCAUGACCAGAAAGAAAUUCAGAGGCCACAACUAUCACCGUUUACUCGCUGGUACUCGGUCUCUGUCUAUGCGGAAAUAGUGUUAUCCAAAUUUCCACAUAGAAAAUGGGCACUACUCUUAUUGAACAUAUACAUAAGCUCGAUGGGAAAGGGAGAAACCCCCAGAAACAAUAGAAAUGGGUGGCAUGGGAACGACCUCAAUCACAGACUGGUUUAAGUUCACUCCCAUCCACCCAUUUCCACUCGCCUCUGGGAGGCUUAUUCUCCCAUUCCAUAUCAGCUUAGCUAUCUCCACGGAAUUGAAUUGUGC
rnacentral:misc_RNA from 1 species